GCUAUAGAAGCUGAAAAUAAAGCGUUGGUCUUGUAAAUCGAAGGUUGAAAUAUAUAUUUCCUAUGGCU
rnacentral:tRNA from 1 species